UGUCUCCUUCAGCAGAGGAUCCCUUAGCUGCCAUGGUUGUCAUUGGUAGGUUAGCAAUCUGAGAUGUAUGUCAAGGACUUUUUCCCCAUGGUUAACCAUCUGCUUUAUAUCAUGCAUUUGCUGAGCUGAAGCCUCUUCACAAGUAGGAGGGUGCUUAUCCAGCACAGAAAACAUACUGAAGCUGCACAAAAGUUGCACGAACUCAUUCGGAGUGACCGAGCUGGAAUCCAACGGAAUUGCAUUCAGUCGCGGCUUCGGUGCUUGAAGAGAUGAGAGCAACAGCUGUGAGCCGUGUUGCAGUGAGGAGCAUCAGCACUGCCAGGCCCCAGGUGAUGUGAUGUGGAUACGGUUGCCAGGUGACAGUAGUUUCACUGAAGGGGAUGCUGUGAUGUGUCUGCAUCUUUGUAGUUGACCUGCCACCCCGGAGUUUACGACCGUGCAGUUAAAGGACAAAACACACACACACAGACCAAGAUGGGAAUCAAACCCAAGAUCCCGACGGUGUCCCUUGUGACAUCUGGAUUGUGCUUAAGCGAAAAAAGUCGACACUUCCAGCAGGAGGGUGAUGCCGGUGCUAAAGACAAUCAAAGCUGUACCCACUAUACCUAAUGGGAUUAAUUUCAUCUACCAGUAAAGCUGCUGUCGCCAUGGAAAGCAUCUCAUUAUUCAACCCUGUUGCCUAGCAACCUUUGAUCGGCCUGAUUAAAGAACGAGAUCCAAUCCAGAAAAGAUCCGAAAGAAUUUUGAGGAACAUAAACAUGGCAUCUAGACCCCCCCCCAUAACAUGAGAUGCACGUCCCACAGUCCAAUGCAUAUUCAAAGUUGAGGCCAGCACUAUCUAUACAGUGAAUACAGAAAAGGACUUAUUUAUUUUUCAGGUGAACCAAUAAAACAAGAUUCUCUUGUUAGAACAAAGGUUGGUCGUUUGUUUAGUUCAGUAGGAAGAAAUCUGCACAAAUGUGACAACCACUGUUAAAAAAUGUGUUUUUGGUGCUUUUUCUCUUUGCCAUACAUUACAGAUAUGGCCUCAUUCUCAUUACAUCGACUGUUUUUUCAAACUCCACGAGUCCAAUUUCAGUUCUCCUUAUGAACGAUUAAUGUUGGGAAAAUGUCAUCAAAGUCAUAAAUUUAAUCUGGUUUUUAGGUAUGAAGAAAUACAGGUCAGUCUGUUUAAAAUGUAGGUCUUUGUUUGUCGUGAUACAUUUUUGUUAUGAUGCAUAUCAGCUAUGACAUUAACGGAAGCUUAAAUGUAUUCGGCUUGACACCGUUAACACAUGCUUCUGGUUAUAGUAUUUGGCCACAGGAUUUAGAAAUAGCAACAAUAUCUAAUUAGAUCAAGGAAGCUGACGACAUGGCUGAUUAUUAGAUAAGUAGGGUAAAGCUUAUCAUGGGCCAUUAAGUUAUUUAAAUAUUUAAAUAUCAGGUUUAAUCACAGAAGUUUGACAACAUCUAGAAAGUUUUGUGUCUUAUUUCAGAUACUUUAUAUAUACUUAUGGCUCUGGAAAGUGUUCUCUCUCUCUUAUCACACUAGCAAUGGCCACUGUAAUGGUCCUAAAUAUAACCAUUAAUUUUCCCCUUUCCAUGCCAAAAAGACCCAGAUCUGUUAGAGUGUCUCAAUAAGCUAAGACUCGCCACGUGCUUUUUGUCCUUGAAGUCCUUUGUGAACCUUGGUGACCAGAGCCAUGUAUUACAAAAGGGGAUAAAAUGUGACAUUGUAUCUUAUAAAAUCACUGCCUUAGAUACGCACUUUAAUUAUUAUUUGGACUCAUAUUGUGGCAUUUUAUUUAAUAAUUUGGGAACCAAGAAAUGUAUCACAAUAACUAAUAAGAAUGUCAUUUUUAUCAUUUUACCAUUUUCAGAAGUAGAGAAGUAAGUAUGUAGAAAAUUCUAGGGCUGAUUUGAUUUUUUCUCAUUUCUUAUAAUGAAACUUAAUCCCCGGCUCCCCCCAUUGUGAUACCUCCUAUUUUACUGUCGCCAUUUCAAAAUUACAGCCUUUUUAAGUAGUGAAUAGACUCAUCAAUGCCACAUAUAUAUAUAUAU